rnacentral:tRNA from 1 species
GAGAGAGGUCCGACGACAGCAAGGACUGCUAAUCCUCUGCCCCUCCGGUUAGACCCCGGGGCUCACUCG